rnacentral:tRNA from 1 species
CGACAAUUAGAUCGGGUCGGGUGUCGCCUCUUUUCGGGACGUUCGCCAGUUCGAACUCCGGCUUUGUCGGC